rnacentral:rRNA from 1 species
UACGUAGGGUGCAAGCGUUGUCCGGAAUUAUUGGGCGUAAAGAGCUCGUAGGCGGUUUGUCGCGUCGAAUGUGAAAACCCGGGGCUCAACCCCGGGCCUGCAUUCGAUACGGGCAGACUAGAGUUCGGUAGGGGAGUCUGGAAUUCCUGGUGUAGCGGUGAAAUGCGCAGAUAUCAGGAGGAACACCGAUGGCGAAGGCAGGUCUCUGGGCCACUACUGACGCUGAGAAGCGAAAGCGUGGGGAGCGAACAGG